rnacentral:rRNA from 1 species
CCUACGGGAGGCAGCAGUAGGGAAUAUUGCUCAAUGGGGGAAACCCUGAAGCAGCAACGCCGCGUGGAGGAUGAAGGUUUUCGGAUUGUAAACUCCUUUUGUUAGAGAAGAUAAUGACGGUAUCUAACGAAUAAGCACCGGCUAACUCCGUGCCAGCAGCCGCGGUAAUACGGAGGGUGCCAGCGUUACUCGGAAUCACUGGGCGUAAAGAGGGCGUAGGCGGGAUAGCAAGUCAGGUGUGAAAUCCUAUGGCUUAACCAUAGAACUGCAUUUGAAACUGUUAUUCUAGAGUAUGGGGGAGGUAGGUGGAAUUCUUGGUGUAGGGGUAAAAUCCGUAGAGAUCAAGAGGAAUACUCAUUGCGAAGGCGACCUGCUAGAACAUAACUGACGCUGAUGCGCGAAAGCGUGGGGAGCAAACAGGAUUAGAUACCCGAGUAGUC